GGGUUGUGAGGUUAAGCGACUAAGCGUACACGGUGGAUGCCCUGGCAGUCAGAGGCGAUGAAGGGCGUGCUAAUCUGCGAUAAGCGCCGGUAAGGUGAUAUGAACCGUUAUAACCGGCGAUACCCGAAUGGGGAAACCCAGUGCAAUCCGUUGCACUAUCAUGUCAUGAAUACAUAGUGGCAUGAGGCGAACCGGGGGAACUGAAACAUCUAAGUACCCCGAGGAAAAGAAAUCAACCGAGAUUCCCCCAGUAGCGGCGAGCGAACGGGGAGGAGCCCGGAACCAUCAUCAGCUUGUGCAUCAGUGGAAGCGUCUGGAAAGUCGCGCGACACAGGGUGAAAGCCCCGUACACGAAGAUGCACCUGCUGUGAGUUCGAAGAGUAGGGCGGGACACGUGGUAUCCUGUCUGAAUAUGGGGGGACCAUCCUCCAAGGCUAAAUACUCCUGACUGACCGAUAGUGAACCAGUACCGUGAGGGAAAGGCGAAAAGAACCCCGGCGAGGGGAGUGAAAAAGAACCUGAAACCGUGUACGUACAAGCAGUGGGAGCCUCUUUAAUGGGGUGACUGCGUACCUUUUGUAUAAUGGGUCAGCGACUUAUAUUCUGUAGCAAGGUUAACCGUAUAGGGGAGCCGCAGGGAAACCGAGUCUUAACUGGGCGUUAAGUUGCAGGGUAUAGACCCGAAACCCGGUGAUCUAGCCAUGGGCAGGUUGAAGGUUGGGUAACACUAACUGGAGGACCGAACCGACUAAUGUUGAAAAAUUAGCGGAUGACUUGUGGCUGGGGGUGAAAGGCCAAUCAAACCGGGAGAUAGCUGGUUCUCCCCGAAAGCUAUUUAGGUAGCGCCUCGUGAACUCAUCUCCGGGGGUAGAGCACUGUUUCGGCUAGGGGGCCAUCCCGGCUUACCAACCCGAUGCAAACUGCGAAUACCGGAGAAUGUUAUCACGGGAGACACACGGCGGGUGCUAACGUCCGUCGUGAAGAGGGAAACAACCCAGACCGCCAGCUAAGGUCCCAAAGUCAUGGUUAAGUGGGAAACGAUGUGGGAAGGCCCAGACAGCCAGGAUGUUGGCUUAGAAGCAGCCAUCAUUUAAAGAAAGCGUAAUAGCUCACUGGUCGAGUCGGCCUGCGCGGAAGAUGUAACGGGGCUAAACCAUGCACCGAAGCUGCGGCAGCGACGCUUA
rnacentral:rRNA from 1 species